CUGUUUGAACUUGCAGCCUCAAACCGUGCAUAAAAGGUAUUUAGCUCAUCUGCCAGAGAGACAUCAGUAUUCACCGUCGGAGGGCUGCCUUUUUUAGUCUGUCAUCAGUCUGAGUCCUUGCCAUACAGCUCUGGAGUCAGCAUGCUGAAAUGUAAACUCCACUCUGUCCCUGUAUCUUCCCUUUGCUUGCUUCACUACGCGCCUGACGUCAUAGCACGCUGCCUUGGACGCGGGCAUGUCGCCGGUCACGCUCCUCCGUUGUAGGCUGACUUAUUCCCCCUCGGCUGCCACGGUAUCGAUGGUGUGUCCACCAUUCUCCUUUGUUGUCGUUACUGGCAUUGCCAUGGACUCCCAAUUCUGCCGGCAGUUGCUUUAAGAGGUUGGAGCUUCGUUGAAGUUGGUGGUGUGACCUCGGCUGCAUAACGAGAUUGAAUGUACUUCCAUGGCCGUCAUAGCUUCUUGUCAACAAACAUGCACGCGCGGUCCUCUGAUCAUACCUGCAGUAUGCGGUCCCCCUCUCGGAUGUGGCCAUCUUUGGCGGCGAUGCUGUUGGGACAGAUCUGUAGAGAAAGACACAAAGAGAGGACGUCACACAGACAGGGGGCGCUCAUCACACCAAACACACAGACAGGGGGCGCUCAUCACACCAACCUGACACCAAACACACAGACAGGGGGCGCUCAUCACACCAAACACACAGACAGGGGGUGCUCAUCACUGACAUCAGAAAAAGCUGACCGCUUGGACUGAAGGAAGUUGAAGGUCAAACUAUAAAAGCAACAUUAAACUGGGCAAGUGGAAGAAAAAUAUUUUUUAUAAGACUCUGCAUCAUUGUGUGAUCAACUUGAUAUGCAGCAUAAACUAGCCAGUUGUUGCAAGUCAGACGUGGUCAACUCACUUUGACACCCCGGCUU